CUUUCUAUGGAGCAACACGUAACAACACAUGAUCUCCAAUAUCGAAUUCCACGUUCUUUCGAUGAAGAUCAGCAUAACUCUUUUGUCGAUCUUGUGAGAUCUUUAUACAUUGCCGGAUCGUUUGGAUCUUUUUCGUAGUCAUACAUACCAACUCUGGUCCCAACAACGUUGCUUCACCCACCUCAUCCCAACAUACUGGAG
rnacentral:lncRNA from 1 species